CGUUAACAAACGCUUCCCCCCUCCCCAAAUCGGGCCGCUCGCCCUCAGCCCCGCUCCCCAGACUUCCAGGGAAAACAGUUUGGCUCCAUUGUCGGGUUGCCAAGACCGCCUUUUGAGAAAGGGAGCCCGGCUCGCCUCUGAUCAAACUCAAAGGCACCAAAAUGACAUUUUCUCCCAGGACCCUAAUGCACGUUCACACCGUCUCUGGGUGCCUUCAGCCUUUCCCUGCACUCUCCUGCAAUGCUCUACUGCCUGCUGCUGCAAUUGAGACAAUGCACACCUAUCCUUGCAACCUCAUCGUUGAAGGAAACAGGAAGUUGAAAUUGGCUCCCUCAAUGAUGUGCCAGUGUAAAGUUUCCACCUACUUCUAAUAGCAAUGUGUAAAAUGUGAAUCAAGGGACACAGGAAGGACAAGGUUUACAAUGUCGGUGCAUUCUCUUAAAUCCUUCUCCUCUCUGCUCCGCAAACUCUUCUUUAUCUUCCAGCAUAUUGGACACCAUCAUCAACCUUGUGGCCAUAGCCAAUAAAUACUGAUGAGCUCAAGCUCAGAAGUUCAGAAACAGCUUUACUUCCUCUAGGAUCCUACACAACAAAGCUCUGAGGACAACUAUCUUCAGUGGCAAAUGGGUUAUUCUUGACUUUGCCAGUUUACCUGUCUAGUAUUCACUUGAACAGCAGUCGGCAAGAAACUGCCUACAGACCUCAUUCCUCUGAUUUGAUCAUCAUGCAUUUGAGAUUGUUUUACCAAAAGACCUAGCUAUUAAUGGACAGAUUCAAGAUGCACAUUAUCUAUCCAGAAAGCCUGACAGCAAGUUCUCUCCUCUUGUUUUUGCAUUUCGCCUCCCUUGAAGGCAUGUGAUCUUCUUUUUUCUUGAGUAGACCACACUUACUACUGAAAAAUGCUGCACCGCACUCCAAAUAAAAUAGUGUGGCAAGGUGAGCUUUGCAUGGGAGUAUUUACUGGAAUACUAAUAAAUAUAGUCAAAUACAGGUUUUGGUGCAUUAUUUCAUACAAUCUGGAAUAAAAUCAGCUUUAAUUCAUU
rnacentral:lncRNA from 1 species